UCCAAUGUGGUCUAGUGGCUAGGAUUUGCCGCUCUCACCGGCAAGGCCGGGGUUCGAUUCCCCGCAUUGGAA
rnacentral:tRNA from 1 species